AGUGAACGCUGGCGGUAGGCCUAACACAUGCCAGUCGAACGGCAGCACAGUAAGAGCUUGCUCUUACGGGUGGCGAGUGGCGGACGGGUGGGGAAUACAUCGGAAUCUACUUUUUCGUGGGGGAUAACGUAGGGAAACUUACGCUAAUACCGCAUACGACCUACGGGUGAAAGCAGGGGAUCUUCGGACCUUGCGCGAUUGAAUGAGCCGAUGUCGGAUUAGCUAGUUGGCGGGGUAAAGGCCCACCAAGGCGACGAUCCGUAGCUGGUCUGAGAGGAUGAUCAGCCACACUGGAACUGAGACACGGUCCAGACUCCUACGGGAGGCAGCAGUGGGGAAUAUUGGACAAUGGGCGCAAGCCUGAUCCAGCCAUACCGCGUGGGUGAAGAAGGCCUUCGGGUUGUAAAGCCCUUUUGUUGGGAAAGAAAAGCAGCAGGUUAAUACCCCGCUGUUCUGACGGUACCCAAAGAAUAGGCACCGGCUAACUUCGUG
rnacentral:rRNA from 1 species